CCUACGGGUGGCAGCAGUGAGGAAUAUUGGUCAAUGGACGAGAGUCUGAACCAGCCAAGUAGCGUGAAGGAUGACUGCCCUAUAGGUUGUAAACUUCUUUUAUAUGGGAAUAAAAUGUUCCACGUGUGGGAUUUUGUAUGUACCAUAUGAAUAAGGAUCGGCUAACUCCGUGCCAGCAGCCGCGGUAAUACGGAGGAUCCGAGCGUUAUCCGGAUUUAUUGGGUUUAAAGGGAGCGUAGGUGGAUUGUUAAGUCAGGUGUGAAAGUUUGCGGCUCAACCGUAAAAUUGCAGUUGAAACUGGCAGUCUUGAGUACAGUAGAGGUGGGCGGAAUUCGUGGUGUAGCGGUGAAAUGCUUAGAUAUCACGAAGAACUCCGAUUGCGAAGGCAGUUCACUGGACUGCAACUGACACUGAGGCUCGAAAGUGUGGGUAUCAAACAGGAUUAGAUACCCUUGUAGUC
rnacentral:rRNA from 1 species